GCUUUCGUGGUGUAACGGCAGCACAUUCGGCUCGAAUUCUAGAGGUCCAGGUGUUCGAGUCCCGGCGAGGGCA
rnacentral:tRNA from 1 species